rnacentral:rRNA from 1 species
GGGUAGGGGAGCGUUCUUACCGGGUAGAAGGUUUUCUGGAAGGGGAGCUGGACUGGUAAGAAGUGAGAAUGCCGGUAUGAGUAGCGAAAAGACAGGUGAGAAUCCUGUCCACCGAAAGCCUAAGGGUUCCUGAGCAACGAUCGUCGACUCAGGGUAAGUCGGGACCUAAGCCGAGGCGGAUAAGCGUAGGCGAUGGACAACGGGUAAACAUUCCCGUACCGCCCGAAGUCGUUUGAGCGAAGGAGUGACGCAGGAGGUAAGGCAAGCGCGAGGAUGGAAAGUCGCGUCUAAGCCGGUAGGGUGCAGUGCAGGCAAAUCCGCACUGCGAGAGCCUGAGAGGUGAAGGGGAGCUGAGGGGAGACCCUUGGCGAAGUUGCCUGGGCCAGACUGCCGAGAAAAGCUUCUAGCGAGACGGAGGGCGCCCGUACCGGAAACCGACACAGGUAGGCGGGGAGAGGAUCCUAAGGUGCGCGGGAGAACCCUCGUUAAGGAACUCGGCAAAAUGUCCCCGUAACUUCGGGAGAAGGGGAGCCCAAGCCCGUGAAGGCAGGAAGCGGCCGGAGCGGGAGUGGGUCGCAGAGGAGAGGCCCAAGCGACUGUUUACCACAAACACAGGUGCCUGCUAAAGCGAAAGCUGACGUAUAGGUGCUGACACCUGCCCAGUGCCGGAAGGUUAAGGAAGGGGGUUAGGAGGAAACUCCGAAGCUCACGACCGAAGCCCCGGUGAACGGCGGCCGUAACUAUAACGGUCCUAAGGUAGCGAAAUUCCUUGUCGGGUAAGUUCCGACCCGCACGAAAGGUGUAACGACUUGGGCACUGUCUCAACGAGGGACCCGGUGAAAUUGAAAUACCUGUGAAGAUGCAGGUUACCCGCGACUGGACAGAAAGACCCCAUGGAGCUUUACUGCAACCUGACAUUGGAUUUUGGUAAAGCAUGUACAGGAUAGGUGGGAGACAGAGAAGCAUGGGCGCAAGCUCGUGUGGAGUCGACGUUGGGAUACCACCCUUGGUUUACUGGAGUUCUAACUGGAGGAGUAACGAACCUCAGGACAGUGUCAGGCGGGCAGUUUGACUGGGGCGGUCGCCUCCGAAAGAGUAACGGAGGCGCCCAAAGGUUCCCUCAGCGCGGAUGGAAAUCGCGCGGAGAGUGUAAAGGCAGAAGGGAGCUUGACUGCGAGACGGACAGGUCGAGCAGGGACGAAAGUCGGGCUUAGUGAUCCGGUGGUACCGAGUGGAAGGGCCAUCGCUCAACGGAUAAAAGCUACCCUGGGGAUAACAGGCUAAUCUCCCCCAAGAGUCCAUAUCGACGGGGAGGUUUGGCACCUCGAUGUCGGCUCAUCACAUCCUGGGGCUGAAGUAGGUCCCAAGGGUUGGGCUGUUCGCCCAUUAAAGUGGUACGUGAGCUGGGUUCAGAACGUCGUGAGACAGUUCGGUCCCUAUCCAUCGCGGGCGCAAGAGACUUGAGAGGAGCUGCUCCUAGUACGAGAGGACCGGAGUGGACGGACCAAUGGUGUACCAGUUAUACCGCCAGGUGUACAGCUGGGUAGCUACGUCCGGAACGGAUAAACGCUGAAAGCAUCUAAGCGUGAAACCGGCCUUAAGAUGAGGUCUCUCACAACGGAAGUUGGUAAGGCCCCUUGCAGAAGACAAGGUAGAUAGGCCAGGAGUGUAAGGCGGGCAACCGCUUGAGCGGACUGGUACUAAUCGGCCGAGGGCUUGACCU